UGAGCCUCAGCCUAGGAAUGUUCUGAACUCU
rnacentral:piRNA from 1 species